rnacentral:rRNA from 1 species
CCUACGUGAGGCAGCAGUGAGGAAUAUUGGUCAAUGGUCGGGAGACUGAACCAGCCAAGCCGCGUGAGGGAUGAAGGUACAGAGUAUCGUAAACCUCUUUUGUCAGGGAACAAAGGCGGGGACGCGUCCCCGGAUGAGUGUACCUGAAGAAAAAGCAUCGGCGAACUCCGUGCCAGCAGCCGCGGUAAUACGGAGGAUGCGAGCGUUAUCCGGAUUUAUUUGGUUUAAAGGUGGCGCAGGCGGUCUGUUAAGUCAGCGGUCAAAGCCCGGGGCUCAACCCCGGCCCGCCGUUGAAACUGGCAGUCUCGAGUUGGAGAGAAGUAUGCGGAAUGCGCGGUGUAGCGGUGAAAGUCAUAGAUAUCGCGCAGAACUCCGAUUGCGAAGGCAGCAUGCCGGCUCCACACUGACGCUGAGGCACGAAAGCGUGGGUAUCGAACAGGAUUAGAUACCCGAGUAGUC